rnacentral:lncRNA from 1 species
AUGGUUAUGAAUAUGAACAUGGUAUCUCUGCCCUGUGCAAAAAGCAUAUUUACGUUUACGCACCUGGCGCUUUUCCCAAAAACGACUUCCAGCCUGCAGUGUCCCGAAGUGCAUCAGCAAGCGACGAAGAGCUUUAGACAAAGACAGUGGAUCCUGAAUCACGCUAACGGUGACGCACGUUCAGAGAGCGCACGCAAGUGGAUCCGAAGGAGGCGGUUAAGGCUCGGGCAAGAACGUCACUCUGGCCUCUGUGAAAAAGGUCAAAGCGCUGACACAGCCCUCUGCUCUCGUGGCCCACAGACCCCUGCUGCGAUGGAAGAAGCACUCCUCAAUGCCUUGAUGAACGGAGCCCUGCUCGUCGUGUCUGUGGCCAUGCUGGCCGGCCUGUGCAUCCGUUGCGGAGGCCCCUGGAACCGCACUUCCAUCCCUCAAAACCUGCGUGACGGAGACGCGAACGAACAGUACCAGCCGACGCCGGGAUUCCGGGUUGUACGACCAGCACCCACGGUGAUGUACCAGCCGCCCAUCCGCAGCUCAGGGUCUGGACAGUCCUCCAACCAACUGUACGCCACCUCUCCACUGCAGGCGAAUCGUCACUCCUCCUUCACGCCGACGAACGACGGAGAAAGUAUUCCCAGCUACGAGAAUCCUGGCUCCGAUCAAGAUGACUAUGUGAACAAAGACCCGGACGACAACCCGGACGACAACCCGGACAACUACAUAGAGGUGCUGCCGGACUCGGUGCCCAUCGUUUCCGUCAGUCUCUCGCAAAACAGCAUUCUGUCCGUGCAGAGCUCAGGUCACGAGGACUACGUGAACGUUCAGGAUGACAACUCUGACAACAACAGCGAGAACUACAUCAACAUGCCAGACCGCAAUGCCCCUGCCUUAACACCAGGGAUGUCGCACGAAAGCAUCGACAGCGAGGGCAACACCAGCGCCGACUACGUCAACACCAGCGUGUUCAUCGACGUCCCCGCCUCCAUCUGCUGAGACGAGAGCGAGCGAGGGGGGUGGGCCUCGAGCUGCAUGACAGUGUAGGGGUGUGUUUAGGCUUUUCUCGCACAGGCUGCAGGGUGGCAAACGGAGUUGCGUUUGGAACCACAGCAAGAUGCCCUGAGAUACCUUGGAAGGGUCACCACUGAGACCACGUUUCACCGAGAACAAAGCAGCCUUUCCCAAUACAACAGUACAUUUCACAGCUGACACAGAGGCUUCUGGCAACUACCCUUUUUAUUUUUAAAUCACAUGAAUUGCUGACGAGUCCUGAGAAUGUUUUAUGAUUUGUCACUUGAUUAUUACAAUGGGUCAUUUUCACCUUUUUUCUAUUUAAUGUUUAGUACCAUGUCAACAGAACAUUUUUGCUAUAAAUGUAAAUACCCUUGCGCUGAGUCAAAUAACUUUCAAGUUCAGACUGGUUUGAGCCCUUUACCUACAUUACCAGUGCUCCUUUGUAUUUAUGCGAUUAUCAUGUCAUUCCAGGAUUAACAUGUUGCAUACGUAUAUGUUUCAAAAGCACGCGUACAAAGCUGGGAGCUCUGGCUUUGUAUCGCGGGGAGGUGUGUCGAUGACCCCUGAUUGGCUCCGGUCGAAAAGCACACAAGGGUACGAACACUGAACACAGGUUGGGUUUUAGGACUGUUUUGUUAGGAUGUCAUUCGAAUUUUUAAAUAAACAUUUUCAUUGCGCCUGUUGGUUCCUGUGU